rnacentral:rRNA from 1 species
UACGUAGGGGGCGAGCGUUGUCCGGAUUUAUUGGGCGUAAAGAGCGUGUAGGCGGCCAGGUAGGUCUGCUGUGAAAACUCGAGGCUUAACCUCGAGAUGUCAUCGGAAACCAUCUGGCUAGAGUCCGGAAGAGGAGAGUGGAAUUCCUGGUGUAGCGGUGAAAUGCGCAGAUAUCAGGAAGAACACCAAUGGCGAAAGCAGCUCUCUGGGACGGUACUGACGCUGAGACGCGAAGGCGUGGGGAGCGAACAGG